rnacentral:rRNA from 1 species
UGUGGCAAGUUUUCAAGGGCGUACGGUGGAUGCCUUGGCAUCAGGAGCCGAUGAAGGACGCGGUAAUCUGCGAUAUGCCUCGGGGAGCUGAUAAACGAGCUGUGAUCCGAGGGUCUCCGAAUGGGGAAACCCCGCCGCGUGUUAUGCGUGGUGACCCGUACCUGAAUUCAUAGGGUGCGUGGAGGGAACGUGGGGAAGUGAAACAUCUCAGUACCCACAGGAAGAGAAAACAACAGUGAUUCCGUCAGUAGUGGCGAGCGAACGCGGAAGAGGCUAAACCGGUGGUGUGUGAUACCCGGCAGGGGUUGCAUCAUCGGGGUUGUGGGGCGUGUUCGUCCUGGGUCUGCCGGCCCGGGCGUGUGAGUGCAGGAUGAUAGUCGAACCGGUGUGAGUGCCGGGCCGUAGAGGGUGGAAGUCCCGUAGACGAAAUCGUUGCUGCCGCAUGGAGUGCGUGCCCAAGUAGCACGGGGCCCGAGAAAUCCCGUGUGAAUCUGCCAGGACCACCUGGUAAGCCUAAAUACUCCCUGAUGACCGAUAGCGGACCAGUACCGUGAGGGAAAGGUGAAAAGUACCCCGGGAGGGGAGUGAAAUAGUACCUGAAACCGUGCGCCUACAAUCCGUCGGAGCCCUGCGGGGUGACGGCGUGCCUUUUGAAGAAUGAGCCUGCGAGUUAGUGUUACGUCGCGAGGUUAACCCGUGAGGGGUAUCCGUAGCGAAAGCGAGUCCGAACAGGGCGUGUGAGUGGCGUGAUCUAGACCCGAAGCGAAGUGAUCUACCCAUGGCCAGGUUGAAGCGCGUGUAAGAGCGCGUGGAGGACCGAACCCACUUCAGUUGAAAAUGGAGGGAUGAGCUGUGGGUAGGGGUGAAAGGCCAAUCAAACUUCGUGAUAGCUGGUUCUCCCCGAAAUGCAUUUAGGUGCAGCGUUGCGUGUUUCUUGCCGGAGGUAGAGCUACUGGAUGGCCGAUGGGCCCUACAAGGUUACUGACGUCAGCCAAACUCCGAAUGCCGGUAAGUGAGAGCGCAGCAGUGAGACUGUGGGGGAUAAGCUUCAUAGUCGAGAGGGAACAGCCCAGACCACCAACUAAGGCCCCUAAGCGUGUGCUAAGUGGGAAAGGAUGUGGAGUUGCUCAGACAACCAGGAGGUUGGCUUAGAAGCAGCCACCUUGAAAGAGUGCGUAAUAGCUCACUGGUCAAGUGAUUCCGCGCCGACAAUGUAGCGGGGCUCAAGUACACCGCCGAAGUUGUGGCAUUGCACCAAUGAUACCCAACCGGUCCUUUCGGGUCCGGUUCAGGUGGUGCGAUGGGUAGGGAGCGUCGUGUGGGCAGUGAAGCUGCGGGUAACCCAGUGGUGGAGCCCACACGAGUGAGAAUGCAGGCAUGAGUAGCGAAAGACGGGUGAGAAACCCGUCCGCCGAAUGAUCAAGGGUUCCAGGGUCAAGCUAAUCUGCCCUGGGUCAGUCGGGACCUAAGGCGAGGCCGACAGGCGUAGUCGAUGGACAACGGGUUGAUAUUCCCGUACCGGCGAAGAACCGCCCUAUCGAACCGGGGACACUAACCACCCGAACCGGGCCACGCGGUGACCAUUGGUCAUCGCCGGCGCCGGGGAGCGUGGACCUGAACCGGGAGGUAAGCGUAUUAACAGGUGUGACGCAGGAAGGCAGCCGAGCCGGGCGAUGGUAGACCCGGUCCAAGCGUGUAGGGCGAUCCGUUGGCAAAUCCGCGGGUCAUGGGCCUGAGACGUGACGGACCCCAUUCGUGGGGGAUUCGGUGAUCCUAUGCUGCCGAGAAAAGCAUCGACGCGAGGUUCCAGCCGCCCGUACCCCAAACCGACACAGGUGAUCAGGUAGAGAUACCAAGGCGAUCGAGAGAAUCAUGGUUAAGGAACUCGGCAAAUGCCCCCGUAACUUCGGAGAAGGGGCCCGGACCGUGAACGGACAUGCUUCCGGGAGCGGGUAAGGGCCGCAGGACCAGGGGAAGCGACUGUUUAUCAAAAACAGGUCGUGCGAAGUCGCAAGACGAUGUAUACGGACUGACUCCUGCCCGGUGCUGGAAGGUUAAGAGACCGUUAGCCUCACGGCGAAGCGGAAUUUAAGCCCCAGUAAACGGCGGUGUAACUUAACCAUCCUAAGGUAGCGAAUUCCUUGUCGGUAAGUUCCGACCUGCACGAAUGGAGUAACGACUUCCCGCUGUCUCAACCAUGAACUCGGCGAAAUUGCAGUACGAGUAAGAUGCUCGUUACGCGCAGCAGACGGAAGACCCCGAGACCUUACUAUAGUUUGUAUUGGUGUUCGUGUGCUUGUGUAGGAUAGGUGGAGACUGUGAAGCGGCACGCCAGUGCUCGUGGAGUCAUCGUGAAUACCACUCUGGUCACUCUGGACAUUACUUCGGCCCGUGAUCCGGUCAGGACAGGCUGAUGGGUAGUUAACUGGGCGGUUGCCUCCUAAAGAGUAACGGAGGCGCCCAAAGGUUCCUCAGCCUGGUUGGCAAUCAGGUGUCGAGUGUAAGUGCACAAGGGAGCUUGACUGUGAGAGCGA